CUGAGACAGGUGCUGCAUGGCUGUCGUCAGCUCGUGUUGUGAAAUGUUGGGUUAAGUCCCGCAACGAGCGCAACCCUUAUCCUUUGUUGCCAGCGGUCCGGCCGGGAACUCAAAGGAGACUGCCAGUGAUAAACUGGAGGAAGGUGGGGAUGACGUCAAGUCAUCAUGGCCCUUACGAGUAGGGCUACACACGUGCUACAAUGGCGCAUACAAAGAGAAGCGACCUCGCGAGAGCAAGCGGACCUCAUAAAGUGCGUCGUAGUCCGGAUUGGAGUCUGCAACUCGACUCCAUGAAGUCGGAAUCGCUAGUAAUCGUAGAUCAGAAUGCUACGGUGAAUACGUUCCCGGGCCUUGUACACACCGCCCGUCACACCAUGGGAGUGGGUUGCAAAAGAAGUAGGUAGC
rnacentral:rRNA from 1 species